CUCUACAAAUUGCAAUGGGUGGUUUGUGCUACAUUCUCUAAGCUUACCCAUGACCACCACAAUUUCCUGUUACAAUAAUUUGAACAGAGGAAGUUAUGCAGAAAACAAGUGGUGGGGCAGUGCGGGAAGGCAAUCAGAGGAGUUUUUCUCCCAGUCAGAGCUUAUAUUCUUCUUGCGCCAUUGCCAGACUGGCUCCAGCCCCAGCUGAACUCUCCAAAAAAUUGUGAGUUGGCAACACUAUAAUAUAAUUGACAAGAACAAUAGCCCUCCCUCCAAGCUACUGCGUUCUUAGCUAGCAUCUCCCAAGAUGCUCAAGGUAAAAGAUAGGUUUUGCCAUGUAUGCAGAAGGUUAACAAAUCCAGCCUGUGACUAGGGCCAAGCAAGUUUCAAAGCCAAGAGCCCACAGAGAGAGCACCUUGCAGGCAUCUCCUCCCUUUUAAAGAGAGGGGGCUCCAGCUUGACUGCUUUCCUGAUCACAACCAUGGCUGUGUGGUGGGAGAAAGUAGUGUCUCAGGUGGCCUCUAAAUGUAAACCAGGCACUAGAGUUGAAAGGAACAAGCAGCUGGAUUUCAUUUCUGCAGCAGGAGGCUGGGAUGGACCUAAACAUCCCCUGGCACAUGCAUAAACACACUCUUUAUGUUUGUCAGCCAGCUAUGCACCAAUGAUGCUGUGGUGGUUUCAGGUUAUAUUUGGGGGAGGGAAAGGGAGAAAAAUUGCUUUUCAGGCCCACCUAAAAACGCUAGGACCAGCUCUGCUUGUUGAAAUGUUUAGCCUUUUCUGAGGCUGGAACUGAAGCUGCUGCUAACACAGCCAGGCAACUAUCAGCCCAUGGAUGCACCUGCUCUUGCUACAGCAGCUGUUAUAAGGGGAACUCCUUUCUAGUGUCCCUCACCACUACCUCCAAUAGUGUAUUGGGGAUGCACUACAUAAUUCCUGUACCCCUGCUAGCUGCUUCACUUAGUGGGAGUUCCUGCAAGAAGCUGUGUUCCCUGGCCCAGCCAAGAGUUUGGGAGGGGUUAGAGCCUGAUACAGCCAAAUCCUCUAUAUGAGCCUGGGGAGACCUGCUCCCUAACCCACCAUCUAGGACAGACCUCCAGCAAUCAGGGGAGACCCACCCAUCUGAAGAACCAAUCCAGCCACCCAACCACAUGACCAGAGUGGACCCAUCCACAUCCCCACCCACACCAACCACCACACAGACAGAGGAGUGAUCUACUUGCCACUAUCACUGGUGCUGUGAGAAAAAAUUACCAGAUAGGGUACCCACCCGGGGAAUGAGAGGUAGGUCAAGAGUUACUGGCUAAGAGUAAAGGAUAAGGGGGAAGUACUGAAUGAUUUUUAGCAGAUAAAGAGUAGAGAACCAAUGGCUUUGAGGGGAGAAAUCAUUUGAUUUAUUUUGGUUAUUUAAAAGAAAGCAAAAACUCUGGGAUCAAUGGACUUUUUUUUAAAGGGAAGAUAUAGUGGAAGGCAAAAUAUUUUAUUCACAAAUAUCACAUAUAUUGUUGACUGAUGGAAAAAAAUUGGGGGAGCUUCUUGUUAAAAUUUUGGCACCACAUCACUAUCCAUGUGGUAAGAAUUAUGUGCACAAUUGCCAGUGAUAUAAGUGGGGAUUGCAGAAGUGCAUUCAUUAAGAAAAGACAGAUACAUCUCUCAUUGCUUUCAUAAUUUGCUAAUAUUUGCAGCAGCUGUUCUCCACAGAGUUCUAGAAUCUUCCAAGUGAGCAUUAAACCUUUAAGAAAAUAUCCCUAAGUAUUGUUCUGCCUGUAAUUUUAACUUGAUGUUCAUGUGCCAUGUAUUGUAACCAGCAAGGAUAUAGAGCAUUGCAUGGUGACUAUUUUAAAUGUUAUUAGCCUUCACACACAA